rnacentral:rRNA from 1 species
CCAAAAACAUAGCCCUCAAAACAAUUGAAGGUGAAACCUGCCCAAUGAUUUAAUACACUAAAUUUAAAAAUUUAAUAAAAAAAUUAAAUGGCUGCAGUAACUAUGACUGUAAAAAUGUAGCAUAAUAAUUCGCCACUUAAUUAGUGGAUAGUAUGAACGGUUUAACGAAAAUUCCACUGUCUUAUAUAAUAAAAAAAAAAUUUAAAUCAUAGUUAAGAUGCUAUGUAAAACUGUAAGACGAAAAGACCCUAUAAAGCUUAACUAUAUUCCUUAAUAAUUUAAUAAUAAAAAAAUUAAAAUAAUUAUUUAUUAAGAUUUGGUAGUUUCAUUGGGGCGAUGGUCUCUAAAAAUAAACAGAGAUAAACCUAUAUAAUAAUAAAAUUUACUGUAUAAUUAAUAAAUUUAACAGUUACAAAGUAGGGUAUAAUGACCCAUUAAUUUUAUAAAAAGAAUUAAUGAUCAAUAAAUAAAAGCUACUUUAGGGAUAACAGGAUAAUAAUUUCUUAGAGACCCAAUCGAAGAAAAAGUUUAUCACCUCGAUGUUGAAUUAAGAUAACCUAAUGACGCAGCAGUAAUUAAAGGUAGGUC